UACCUGCAGCUCGAGUGGUAACCGCUUUUAUUGGGCCUAAAGCGUCCGUAGCCGGUUUGGUAAAUAUCUGGGUAAAUCGUGAGGCUUAACUUCACGAAUUUCGGAUAGACUGCCAGACUUGGGAUCGGGGGAGGUCAGAGGUACUCCAGGGGUAGCGGUGAAAUGUUGUAAUCCUUGGAGGACCACCGGUAGCGAAGGCGUCUGACUAGAACGAGUCCGACGGUGAGGGACGGAGCCCUGGGGCGCAAACCGGAUUAGAUACCCGGGUAGUCCAGGGUGUAAACAAUGUGGGCUUUGUAUUGGAGGUCCCACGUGGGCGUCCAGUGCAGAAGAGAAGUUGUUAAGCCCACCGCCUGGGAAGUACGGUCGCAAGGCUGAAACUUAAAGGAAUUGGCGGGGGAGCACAGCAACGGGAGGAGCGUGCGGUUU
rnacentral:rRNA from 1 species